CGUUUCAGCAACCCAAAUACACCGCUUCGCUACAUCUUCUCAAACAGAAUAAACGUCGUUUCAUUGCCUCAUUAUCUUCCAUUACAAUGCUUGCCUGUUGCUUCUUCUUCUUCUUCGACGAUCUCUCCGCUGCCCAAGACCAGAGGCAGGAGAAGUUGAAAAGUUGUUUGUUCAAUUCAAAUAAAGCGUAAGCUUUUUAAGAAUUCAAAGUUUUGAAAGCAGCAUGAUCAACAAUGUCCAAUUUGAAUGUACAAAGGCCACCCUUAUUAUGCACUGUAUGUAAUUGUGGCUACGCCACAAAGGUAAAAGAGGAUCAACAACAAAGUGUACACUGUGCGUACAAUGAUUUC